GGUCACUUCCUGGGGCCCUCCAGCCAGCACUUCCUCCACAUAGGCUUUCUCUAGGGCUGACCAGGGCUGCCAUCUUCUCUCCUGCCUUUCCAUGUGUACAAUGGGACACAGUGGUGUCCAUAUGCCCAUGCCACACACUGACCUGGGAAGCCUGGCUCCAGCCAGACCCUCAACUUCAAGAAGGCAGAAGAGGUUUCCCAACCAUUACCUCUAUACCACAUGCAUUCCAGGAAAAAAAUCAGCAGCAGAAUAUCUGAAUACUCUGGAGAUUGCUAGAUGAAAACAUAAGGAGUGAAUUUCAAACUAUAAUUACAGAGAAGGACCUUCUGAACAAGAAUGCAGUCGCUUGGGAAAUAAACAAGAUUUGAUGCAUAAGCCAACAUAACACUUAGAAGCUUCUGCACAGGCUUCAUGGUUCCAGCUAAUGCAUCAAAUACAGUAAUGAAAAGGACUGGGCAUAGUGGACAGCACUGAUUAUUUUCAAAUUUGAUUGGGAUUGAUUCAAGUUCUUCUCCACUGAACCUGACGCUGCCUGUGGGUUUGUCAUAGAAACCUCCAUUCUAUUGAGGUACCAUAGGACUUUUAUCAAAAAAAGCAUGUUGGAUUUUAUCAAAGGCUUUUUCUACAUCUUUUAAGAUCAUCAUGUGAUCUUUGCCUUGAGUCCAUUUAUGUUAUUUCUCAGAAUUGAAAAUAAUCUUUCAAACACAAAAAUUUCUUAUCUAGAAUAUAGAGUAAAUUUACCUGGCCUUGAUAAAAACCCUGAAUCUGGAGCUGCUCAUAUGAAGAAAUGAAACAAUGAAAUGUAGUAUAAAAAUAUCAAAUUGGGAGGUCAGAGUUGUUUUGUAUUCACAACUGCAGAAGGCAUAGUUCAUAUGACAGGAUAAUGUGGAUAAAAUAAUAUUUGGAUGUUUACCUCCACUUGAAACUUUCUGUCUGCAUAACGUCUGGCUGUGGGUCUCUGCACCUGCUCCCAUCUGCUGCCAGAGGAAGCCUCUCUGAUGAUAACUGGACAAAGCACUGAUCUGUGAGUAUUGCAGAAUAUCAUUAGGAAUCAUUUCACUGUUUUUUGUUGGUUUGUUUUUUGCCUGUAGUGUUUGAUUCCACCCUAGGUCUCUGGACUAUCCAGUCUCCAGUUCCUGGCCAUCAGAUAGUCUAGGGCACCCACUCCCUCUCAUGGACUGGGCCUCAAGUUAAACCUGCCAUGGUCACGCAGUCUGUGCCUUCUCUCUCUGCUCUCUACUCUGUGUUCCCUCUCUGCUCCCUGCUCUCUGCUCUGCUCCCGCCAUCUCCCCCCCCCCCAGACCUAGCUCCCCUCUCUCCCUCACCUUUCCCUUCUAAUAAAGCUCUCUGUAACUCUAGUAAUCAUGGCCGUGGCUCCUGACUUUUCCACCAGUAACCAGCGCCACCAAACAGUACUGUUUAUCUUUCAGUAGACACUGGGUUUUAUUUCUGAUUUUAGAGGAAAUUCUUUGAGAUUCUCUCAGUUUAGAUUGAUGUUGGCUGUGGGCUUGCUACACACUGUAUUAUAUGAAUGUAUGUGUUAGUUUUAUGCGGUGCUGUUUACCCUGUGAGAAAAAGUCAUGGGGCACAACAAAACCCACUAUAAGAGUUUAUUAGGAGAAGGGAGGGACAGGCCUGUUUGAAAGACAUGUGUGGAAGAGGGAAGAGAGGGUAAUGGGAUCCGCCUUUCAUGGACUCCCCCAACGCAUGCACAUAUGGGCCUACACUACACCACGCAUGUGCAUAGAUUACGUGAUCACACUGCACACAAAUUACAUGACCACACGGCACACAGAUUACAUAGGUACGGCCCAGGAAAUGACUAAGCAUCUUGCCAACACAUGCGAGGUCAUGGGGCAUGGCUAGAAAUUCUAUCAGUAUGUCCCUAUUUUAAGCUUUUGUCAUGUGUGUUACAAUCUGAAUAAUCACAGAGGUUAGGUACCUAGAAAGGCACCAGAAGGAGGAGAGAAUCUUCCAAGGAAGUGAAAAUGGAACACUGAGUUACUAAGUAUAGACACUGUCUUAUAGUGACAGGAUAGGAAAAGGGAUUCCAAGGAAAUGGAACCAGGAAACAAGGAAAAGUUGUACUGUCCUUUCCCCCAUAUUCCCCGUGAUGGGAUGGUUAAUAUCGAUUGUCAACUUGACAGGAUCUAAAAGUCCCUUAAGAGACUCUGGACUCCUCUGUGAAAGAUCAUCCACAUUAGGUUAGCUGAGGUGGAAAGGAUCACCCUAAAUGUGGGCAACACCAGACUGAACAAAACAGACAAAGUAAGCUGAGCACCGCCCCCCUUCCCCUCUCCCUAUCCUUCUCCCCCUCUCCCUGCCCCUUCCCCACCCUCUGCUUCUUGAUUGUGGAUGCAAGAUGACCAGCUGCUUCAAGCUCCGGCCGCCAUGCCUUCCCACCACGAUAAACUACACCUUACAAACUGAACCAAAACCAACCCUUCUUCCUGAAGUUUCUUUUGCCAGGCAUUUUCACAACAACGAGAAAGUAACUAGUACAUUCCAUUGGGAAACAAGUCCUUGUACCU